rnacentral:rRNA from 1 species
UAAGGAAUAUUGGUCAAUGGACGCAAGUCUGAACCAGCCAUGCCGCGUGAAGGAUGAAGGUCCUCUGGAUGGUAAACUUCUUUUAUCUGGGACGAAAACGGGAUUUUUAUCUCAAUUGACGGUACCAGAGGAAUAAGCACCGGCAAACUCCAUGCCAGCAGCCGCGGUAAUACGGAUGGUUAGAGCGUGAUCCGGACUUACUAGGUUUAAAGGGUGCGUAGGCGGGCUUGUAAGUCAGUGGUGAAAUCUCUCAGCUUAACUGAGAAACUGCCAUUGAUACUGCAGUCCUAGAGUAUAGAGUACGUUGGAGGAAUAUGACAUGUAGUGGUGAAAUACUUAGCUAUGUCAUAGAACACCGAUUGCCAAGGCAGCUAACGAAACUAUAACUGACGCUGAGGCACGAAGGCGUGGGGAUCAA